CCUUGACAUCCAGAGAACCUAGCAGAGAUGCUUUGGUGCCUUCGGGAACUCUGAGACAGGUGCUGCAUGGCUGUCGUCAGCUCGUGUUGUGAAAUGUUGGGUUAACGUCCGCAACGAGCGCAACCCUUAUCCUUUGUGCCAGCGGUUCGGCCGGGAACUCAAAGGAGACUGCCGGUGAUAAACCGGAGGAAGGUGGGGAUGACGUCAAGUCAUCAUGGCCCUUACGGCCAGGGCUACACACGUGCUACAAUGGCGCAUACAAAGAGAAGCGACCUCGCGAGAGCAAGCGGACCUCAUAAAGUGCGUCGUAGUCCGGAUUGGAGUCUGCAACUCGACUCCAUGAAGUCGGAAUCGCUAGUAAUCGUAGACCAGAAUGCUACGGUGAAUACGUUCCCGGGCCUUGUACACACCGCCCGUCACACCAUGGGAGUGGGUUGCAAAAGAAGUAGGUAGCUUAACCUUCGGGAGGGCGCUUACCACUUUGUGAUUCAUGACUGGGGUGAAGUCGUAACAAGGUAAGCGUAGUGCU
rnacentral:rRNA from 1 species